GACGAACGCUGGCGGCGUGCCUAAUACAUGCAAGUAGAACGCUGAAGGAGGAGCUUGCUUCUCUGGAUGAGUUGCGAACGGGUGAGUAACGCGUAGGUAACCUGCCUGGUAGCGGGGGAUAACUAUUGGAAACGAUAGCUAAUACCGCAUAAGAGUAGAUGUUGCAUGACAUUUGCUUAAAAGGUGCAAUUGCAGCGCUACGAGUUGCACCUGCGGCGUAUGAGCUAGUGGGUGGGGUAACGGCUUACCAAGGCGGUGAUGCGUAGCCGAACUGGGAGGGGGACCGGCCACAUUGGGACUGAGAUACGACCCAGACUGCUACGGGAGGCAGCGGUGGGAGAUAUUGCGCGAUAGGCGGAAGGCUGAUGCAGCAACUCCGGGUGGGGGAUGACGGCCUUCGGGUUGUAACCCGCGUGCGCGUGUGACGAAGCGUGUGUGACGGUAAUGGGUAAAGAAGCACCGGCUAACUACGUG
rnacentral:rRNA from 1 species